rnacentral:rRNA from 1 species
GACGAACGCUGGCGGCGUGCUUAACACAUGCAAGUCGAACGGAAAGGCCCUGCUUUUGUGGGGUGCUCGAGUGGCGAACGGGUGAGUAACACGUGAGUAACCUGCCCUUGACUUUGGGAUAACUUCAGGAAACUGGGGCUAAUACCGGAUAGGAGCUCCUGCUGCAUGGUGGGGGUUGGAAAGUUUCGGCGGUUGGGGCUGGACUCGCGGCUUAUGAGCUUGUUGGUGGGGUAGUGGUUUACCAAGGCUUUGACGGGUAGGCGGCAUGAGAGCGUGACCGGGGACAUGGGGACUGAGAGAGGCAGCAGUAGGGUAUGUGCGGCAGUGGUGGGGAAUAUUGCACAACAGGCGGAAGCGUGAUGCAGCAACGUCGCGUUCGUGAUGACGGCUUUCUGGUUGUAAACCGCUUUCGCCUGUGACGAAGCGUGAGUGACGGUAAUGGGUAAAGAAGCACCGGCUAACUACGUG